rnacentral:rRNA from 1 species
CAGUAGCCGCGGUAAUACAGAGGGUGCAAGCGUUAAUCGGAAUUACUGGGCGUAAAGUGCGCGUAGGUGGUUUGUUAAGUUGGAUGUGAAAUCCCCGGGCUCAACCUGGGAACUGCAUCCAAAACUGGCAAGCUAGAGUAUGGUAGAGGGUGGUGGAAUUUCCUGUGUAGCGGUGAAAUGCGUAGAUAUAGGAAGGAACACCAGUGGCGAAGGCGACCACCUGGACUGAUACUGACACUGAGGUGCGAAAGCGUGGGGAGCAAACAGGAUUAGAUACCCCGGUAGUCCCUGUCUCUUAUAC